GUUGCGCUUAGCCUUCCCCCCCGCCCCCGAGCCCCGCUCCCGGUGCCGAGUGCGGCGCUGAGGCCUUAGGUGUUUCAUCAGUGAAUCUUUGGCGACAAAAGCCCAAAGGAAGCAAGACCAACUAUUCUCUAUAAUGGAGUACAAAGCCAACGGGACGUCCAGGGACUAUGUAUGAAGAGGCUGAAACUGAGCUGCAUCCUCAGUCUGGUAUAUAGGUUCUGUACAACUUGUCGCGGGUACAUAUUCCUUAUUUGCUGGAUCAACAUAACAAGCAGUAUUUUUACCAUUAAGUAUUUGUUUCUGCUACCUCCUACAGUGAGCUACAUGAUACAGAACCAAAGAAAAACAGUGGAACAGACCCCAGAAGGUCAUCUAAUCCAACAGUUUGCCCAAAGAAAGAGUCCAGGGGACACUAAUAUCUGCUGAACUGCCUUGCCAGAAAAUUGGAUACUGUGCUCCCGAUGACUGGUCCCAAGAAAUGGAAGCUAAAACCCACUAUGUGCUUUCUCUGCAAUGCUGUGGAGAGAACUAGUACACUUGGGGAGACAAUCCAAAGACCCUCAGGUUCAUUAGUGAAUUGCUAGUGCCUCAGCAGUCACCAGCAGAAAAUUCUGAGCAUGGGAGGAGUCCAAUUUUUGUGUCCUCGCUGCAAUUUAGGCAACUCAGUCAGUUCCGCGAGGGAGAUGCUACACAGCCUCCUCAGA